CCUCUGCUUCAUGAUGUACGUAGGACCCCAUCUAUAGGACCUUCCGUGCCUCCAGCCCUGGAGGAGCCAGGAAGCGGGAGAGGGUCGAGGACGGUGUGGCAGAGCCUGCCUCACCCCUGCAGGCCGGUGUGCGCGUCUGAACGGGAACCCCGGGCAGGCAGAACUCAGAGUCUGUACCUCUGCCGUCUCGUCUUUUUAAAAAAAUGAAACGAUUGCGUGUUUAUACUCCAGGUAGUUAAAUUUCCCCUAACAAACCAGUCACUUCGUAGGUGCCCAAGAAAUGUUAGCUCCCUGGCUUUUGCCUCCCACUGACCUGAACCACCACCACUGUCCCUGUUGCCAUGGUGACCCCUCCCAGGGACACACAGUGGCUCCGUGAGAAGAAGUGAGUCAAGCUGGGCUCUAACCCUGGCUCUGAGCCUGGCCACCACAUCUGGCCAGGCCCCCCUUCGGGCCUCAGGCUCCCGAGCCGUAAAACAAGGGCCCUGGUCUUGGCUGGGAUCAGGGCGGGUGUAUCAGCACCUCUCGGGACACGGUGAAUUCUCUGCCCCCUCCGUUCCCGCGCUCCCAGACGGGUGCGUGCCCACGCUUGCGUUCGUGUGUACGCGUGUGUAUGUGUGACCAAGUCACCGGCUGUCUCCCUAGAACAGGGCAGAAGGUCUGGGGGCAGGAGAAGGCCACAGAGGAGCCCAGGAAAGCCCAGGGCCGGCCACUUCGGGGCAGAGGUGAUCAGGAAGCCCCCCACCUACAACAGAUGCAGCGGGAGAAAACGGAGCCCAAACUGCUCCGCAAGCCUGGGCUUGAAUUCCUGCUCUGCCGUUCGGAGCUGAAUACUCUACAGCUAUCAUCUCCCGUGGUCCUUCAACAUCCCUGGGAGGAACUCAUACUCACUCUACUUUAUAGACGCGGGCCGGGCACCAGAGAGCCUAAGUGAUUCGGCCAAGGUCACGCAGCCGGACUGACUGAUGUGUGCUCAGAAGCCCAAGAGAGAGAAGUCAGCCUACCUGCGAGUGUAGCGUCGCUUUGAAAUCGUAAAUCUAAUCCUAUGACUUA